CCUUUGGCUGCCGUGAGCGCUUCGGCGUGAGCGACAGUCAUUCUAUAGUGACGCCUCCGUGUCCGGGAAACCGGCGCGGGGCUGACCUAACCCUUCUCUACGAGUACCUAUUAUUCUCCUUCGGCGGGGUCUACCCGCCGCUGGAACUUAAGAACCAACUUGCAUUUAGCAUUACCUGUUCUGAUAACAAUUAAUUAUUA
rnacentral:misc_RNA from 1 species